GCACGAGUAGCUCAGCGGUAGAGCGGUCCGCUUACACCGGAUUGGUCGGCGGUUCGAUCCCGUCCUCGUGUACCA
rnacentral:tRNA from 3 species